rnacentral:rRNA from 1 species
CUCUGGGAGCAUCGUUGCUCUUCGAAGAGUUCGGUCAUGGCUCAGAUUGAACAUGGCGGGGAUGCUUUACACAUGCAAGUCGAACGGCAGCACGGACUUCGGUCUGGUGGCGAGUGACGAACGGGUGAGUAAUGUAUCGGAACGUGCCACAAUGCGAGGAUAACUAAGAAAGCGUAGCUAAUACCGCAUACGCAUCGAGGAAAGCCGGGGGACCUUCGGGCCUCACUAUUAAACUGGCCGAUAUCGAUUAGCUAGUUGGUGAGUAGCAGCUCACAAGGCGACGAUCCGGCAGCUGGUUUGAGAGGACGACCAGCCACACUGGGACUGAGCCAGCCCAGACUCCUACGGGAGGCAGCAGUGGGGAAUUUUGGACAAUGGGGGAAACCUGAUCCAGCCAUCCCGCGUAUUACAUUGAAGGCGCUGGGUUGUAAAACGCCUGGCAGGAAAGAAACGGCACGGGAUAAUACCCGUGCAACUGACGGUACCUGCCAGAGGCUUCUGCUUUCGGCUAACUACAUGCAGCAACCGCGGUAGCCACGUAGGGUGCAAAAGCGUUAAUCGGAAUUACUGGGCGUAAAGCGUGCGCAGGCAGUUCGAAGAAAGAUCUUGAAAUCCAAGAGCUUAACUUUGGAACUGCAUUUUUAACUACCGAGCUAGAGUAUUGUCAGAGGAGGUGGAAUUCCGCGUGUAAGCAGUGAAAUGCGUAGAUAUGCGGAGGAACACCGAUGGCGAAGGCAGCCUCCUGAGAUAACCCGCGACGCUCAUGCGGCGUGAGGAGCAAACAGGAUUGAAUGCCUGGUAGUCCACGCCUGAAACGUGUCCUUCAAGCUGUUGGGGCCUUCCGGGCCUUGAAGUAGCGCAGCUAACGUGAAGUUGACCGCCUGGAAAUGCAGUCAACAAAGUUGAAGAAACUCAAAGGAAUAUGACGAGGACCCACCCGCAAGCGGUGGAUGAUGUGGAUUAAUUCGAUGCAACGCGAAAAACCUUACCCUUUAUGACAUGUCUGGAAUCCCGAAGAGAUUUAGUGCUCGCAGAGAACCGGAACACAGGUGCUGCAUGGCUAGCUCGUCAGCUCGUGUCGUGAGAUGUUGGGUUAAGUCCCGCAACGAGCGCAACCCUUGUCGCUAGUUGCCCCGAAGAACACUCUAAUGCAGAACUGCCGGUAAAUAAACCAAGGAGGAAGGUGGAAUUAGCGUCGAAGUCCUCAUGGCCCUUAUGGGUAGGGCUUCACGUCAUACAAUGGUCAGGACAGAGGGUCGCCAACCCGCGAGGGGAGCCAAUCCCAGAAACCCGAUCGUAGUCCAGAUCGCAGUCUGCAGCUCGACUGCGUGAAGUCGGAAUCGCUAGUAAUCGCGGAUCAGCAUGUCGCGGUGAAUACGUUCCCGGGUCUUGUACACACCGCCCGUCACACCAUGGGAGUGGGGUUUACUGCAAGUAGUUAGCCUAACCGUAAAGGAGGGCGAUUACCACGGUGGAUUCGCAUUGACUGGUGAAGUCGUAACAAGGUAG